GUAGCCUAGUGGGCAGGGCACCUGCCCGGUAAGCAGAAGGUUGUGGGUUCGAUUCCCGCCCCUGGACA